rnacentral:tRNA from 1 species
GGGGUUGUGGCUCAGUGGUAGAGCACUCGCCUAGCAUGUGUGAGGUACUGGGUUCGAUCCUCAGCACCACA